AAAGCAAGCCCCAAGCUUGCCCAUCUGGGCAGAGGGAUCCUCCUCAGAUCAUCACCGGAUGAAGAUAUUUGCAAACCCAGUUGUAACUGCUGUGUAAGCAGCCAAUGGGCCACUCAAGGAAACUGCAGCAACAGGCUGGAUGGACCAAUUACCUUGUCUGCCAGGACACAAAACCUUCCAGCUAUCCACAGACACUUGCAGAAAGAAUGGGCUCCACCACACCAUUUACUAUUUAAUUUUGCUGAGUCCUCAUUAGUUCUGUUUAUUUUAAUGUGAUUCCUCUGUGUUCCUGCCUGUCUAGGAAUAACAUCCAAUUCUUAUUCCAAGUCCCACAGAGAAAGCAUUAAGUUUGUUAACAUCCUUGCAGAGGAUUAAAUAUGACCUAAACCCUAGCAUCUUCAUAAGCACUUCCACUGCUUUUACCUUAUCAUUUCCAAUGUCAAAGGCUAUAGUUAUGCCUGCAGGACUGCUCAGGUGCAAUGCAUGAUGGAUGCACAGCAGGUGACUGGUGCUAACAUUUAUCUCAGGAUGAAUGUUAUUGCUCUGCCAAAACCUUUGUGGUUUGGUUUUGGUUUAUUUACCUUUUCUACCCUAUCCAAAUACAUUCUCAUAAUUUAAAGAAGCCAUCUGUGCACUUUAUUCUCUCUGCUCACUGUCCCUGAUUCCUAAACAUGCCUGGCUAAGCUAGUCCCACCAGAUAUUAACCUUUCCUGCUUCCCACACUGCACUGCCAGGAGUACAAGUUCAUUAGCAUUUAAGCUGUCUCUGUGAGGAUUAUGCCCAGAGGCAGCCAGGAAUUUGGCCUGUAAAACUGGCAGCAUUUUCAGUAUGUGAGUAUAUACACUGCUUACACAUUCUUCCCACUGUUCUGGCAAGAGCACCCCAGAGCUCCUGCUUGUGGGCUUAGUGUGGGUGUCUUCCCACGUGAUGAAAACACAUUCUUAAGUCUUCCUCCUGAUAAAGUCAACUGAAGCUUACCCUUUGCCUCAGUGGGUAUACAGCUGGACCCUUGGAGCUGACUUGCCAGUGUGGACAAGCUACUGUGACAAAGUAACUUUAAAACCCUUCCUUGCAAA